CCUACGGGACGCAGCAGUGAGGAAUAUUGGUCAAUGGCCGCAGGGCUGAACCAGCCAAGUCGCGUGAGGGAUGACGGUCCUAUGGAUUGUAAACCUCUUUUGUCAGGGAGCAAAGGGCGCCACGUGUGGCGCUUUGCGAGUACCUGAAGAAAAAGCAUCGGCUAACUCCGUGCCAGCAGCCGCGGUACUACGGAGGAUGCGAGCGUUAUCCGGAUUUAUUGGGUUUAAAGGGUGCGCAGGCGGAAUGUCAAGUCAGCGGUAAAAUUUCGGGGCCGAACCCCGCCUGGCCGUUGCAACUGGCGCUC
rnacentral:rRNA from 1 species